GCCAUGUGGAGUAGUGGUUUGAGUAUUGGACUACGACUCUGGUGAUCAGGGUUCAAUUCCAUGCUUGAGCA